UACGAAGGGGACUAGCGUUGUUCGGAAUUACUGGGCGUAAAGCGCACGUAGGCGGAUUCGUAAGUCAGGGGUGAAAUCCCGGGGCUCAACCUCGGAACUGCCUUUGAUACUGCGGAUCUUGAGUCCGAUAGAGGUGGGUGGAAUUCCUAGUGUAGAGGUGAAAUGCGUAGAUAUCGGGAGGAACACCUGUGGCGAAGGCGGCCGCCUGGUUGGAUACUGACGCUGAGACGCGAAAGCGUGGGGAGCAAACAGG
rnacentral:rRNA from 1 species